GUGAGGGACCAGAGCCCGAGGGCCGGCCGGUCCCGCGCAGGGACAGCCCGUCCUGGCCCCGCACCCGGGCUGAGCAGACGGGAACGAACGCGAGAAGCUUAUCUGCCCGAGGCACGAAAUCAGAGCUGGAGAGUCAGGGCCCCGGCCCUCGAGGGACCCCACCCGCGUGCUCUGCCCGGCAGCCGGCGAGGUCUGGGCUCCGUGGAGGAUACCAGGCAGGUCUCGAGCGGCACCAAGGAGGAGACAGGCCCCGGCCCCCAGGUGCCCGGGGUAGGGUUGGGGUUCCCGCCGGCCCGCCAGAAUGCACCAGCUCACAGGGGCCCGACCACCGCUCCUCACUCUUCUGCCGUCAGCCGGGGGCCCAGGCAGUGGGAGCGCCGCACGGCAGCCGGCCGGCCACGCACAGGAUUCCUCUGGAGAAAAACAGAAACGGAAGCAGGAUCUGGGCUCAUAAACGUACAGAAAGUCCCGGAACGUCAGUGCCAAGUUGCUGCUGGUGCUCACCAGGCAGGAGUCCUUGCCCCCGUCUGAAGAGGUCGACCUGAAGUCAGAGCCUCACACGGCCGCGAGGGGGGAGCAGGGACACACAGGACUCAGCGAGGGUCCCCACACACUGAUGCCAAGAACACAGCUACCUGCUUGGAGUCCCGCCAAGAGCCCAGGGCCCCCUGCUACUGGCCGAGGGUUUAAUCAGCAAGGGAUCCCCGACUCGGGUUUCACGGCUCACCUGCCAGCCGGAGGACCUGGCGGCCACUGAGGGCGGGGCACAGAGGCACCCCCCAGAGGGACCCUGCCACGCCCUCGCACGGCCCUCAGGCUGGGGGCAGCUGGCAGCCACACGUGGCCCCAGGCUGCAACAAGCUUCCCUUUUGGUGAAAUGGAGUG